GUAUUGUAUUGCGUUAAACGCGGUGCACAUUCCAUAAGACUUUGCUACGGUGUACAUGUAAAGACAUAGGACUACAGGAGGAAGACAGGGUGUCCCCCAGACCAUAGAACUACGGAGGGUGCACAGGUGUGAGUGGAUGUGUAAACAGAGCGUGCACAUGCCCCCAUACAGGGGCCAGCAACAACCCUUGUUGACAAUUCGGUAAUGAUCCUUCCGCAGGUUCACCUACGGAAA
rnacentral:misc_RNA from 1 species